GGAGAGAAUUGAUGGAAAGGUAAGUGAAGGAGAUUAGGGUUAGGAUUGCGAGAGUGAGGAGGGAACCUUUUAGAGAACACAUGUAUUGUGAUGCCUGUUGUUGGAGCUUUCCGGCCGUCAUCGCCGGGGAUUUGCUAAAGUAUUCAGUGUCCAGCCGUAAUGGUGGAGGUGGAGGUGGAAGUGGGAUUGGUCCUUCAGUAAAAGGAGCCAAAUCGGAAUC
rnacentral:misc_RNA from 1 species